CAGGACCUAUAGUUUGAGUCCUCUGAUGAGGAUUAUAGUUAUGAUGAAGAUGAAGAUCGCCAGAUGGUUAGGAGGAAGAGCAGGUAUGUUAGGUUCAACCCAGAUACAGAAAUUCCACAUUUUUGCUUGGGAAUGGUUUUUAAAAGCAAGAACCAAUUAGUCAAAGCACUUAAGAAGUAUGGGCUUGCUACUAAAAGGAGCAUAUCAUUUGUAAAAUCUGAGCAGCAGAGGGUGAGAGCGAAAUGUGACUGGCCUGGUUGUCCCUGGAUGUUGUAUAGUGCCAAGACAAGUAGAUGUUCUAGGUUUCAAGUAAUUACCUAUGAAAAUGAGCACUAGUGUGCACAGAACAGGGAGAAUAAACUUGUUAGUGCCAAGGUUAUUGCAAAUAGGUAUGAACACAUUAUCCUAGCAAAUCCAAUGUGGAAAAUUGACAGCAUAAAAGCCACAGUGCUCAAAGAUAUGUUUUCAGAUGUGUCAGUUUCAAAAUGCAAGGCUGCAAAAUAA
rnacentral:rRNA from 1 species